CACAUGUGUACAUUCUAUAUGUCUCUAUUUCUUCUUUGAAGUCCUUUGGAGUUUGGGCAGCAUAAUGAUGAUUGUUCAUGCUAUCGCGCAAAGAAAAUAUAAUUUCCCUGGCAAUCGGCUCAUGCCCGUUGAGAAGAUUACCCAUGCUUAGUACUUUUCUCCAUGACUGGUUAGGAGUAGGUGGUGUAAACAUAUCUGACACAAUUUGUCUCUCCUGCAUUCUUACGUACUGCUUCUUAUUGAACUCCUUUUCAUUGACAUCUGAGGAGCCUGUUCCCAUUCUUGGAAGAUAAAAGUUAUAGUAGUCAGUGAAGAUAUCUGCAGAAAGACGUGGUGCUUGAAUGAACUUGCGAUGAAGAGAAGCUGCAAGAGUAAGUAACUUCUCAACAUGUUCAAAGAUGACACACAGCCGUCUUAGGUCUUCG
rnacentral:misc_RNA from 1 species